GCCCGGGUGGCGGAAUGGCAGACGCAAAGGACUCAAAAUCCUUCGAGGGCAACCUCAUGAGAGUUCGACUCUCUCCCCGGGCACCA
rnacentral:tRNA from 1 species